UGAAUACGAGACGCUAAGGCGUCGAAGUAGUGUAUAUCAGACUUCCAAGAAAAGCUUGCACUGUCAUAGAUAAAAAAUGCCUGUACCAUAACCGACACAGGUGGGUAGGUAGAGUAUACUAAGGGGCGCGAGAUAACUCUCUCUAAGGAACUCGGCAAAAUAACUCCGUAACUUCGGGAGAAGGAGUGCCUUAUUUAUAAGGUUGCAAUAACAAGAUCCAAGCAACUGUUUAUCAAAAACACAGGUCUCCGCUAAGUCGUAAGACAAUGUAUGGGGGCUGACGCCUGCCCAGUGCCAGAAGGUUAAAGAAGUUGGUUAGCAAUUGCGAAGCUGAUAACUGAAGCCCUGGUGAACGGCGGCCGUAACAAUAACGGUCCUAAGGUAGCGAAAUUCCUUGUCGGGUAAGUUCCGACCCGCACGAAAGGCGUAAUGAUUUGGAUACUGUCUCGGAGAGGGGCUCGGUGAAAUAGACUUGUCUGUGAAGAUGCGGACUACCUGCACCAGGACAGAAAGACCCUAUGAAGCUUUACUGUAACUUGAAAUUGAAAUUGGACUUUAUUCGCGCAGCAUAGGUGGGAGGCGUUGAUUAUAAUCUUGCGGGAUUAUUGGAGCCAUCAGUGAGAUACCACUCUUGUAAUGUUAGAUUUCUAACUUUGAAUCAUUAUCUGGUCAAAGAACAGUUUCAGGCGGGCAGUUUGACUGGGGCGGUCGCCUCCUAAAUGGUAACGGAGGCGUACAAAGGUUUCCUCUGAACGGUUAGAAAUCGUAUCUAGAGUGUAAAGGCAUAAGGAAGCUUGACUGUGAGACCUACAAGUCGAGCAGGGACGAAAGUCGGUCUUAGUGAUCUGACGGUACUGAGUGGAAAGGCCGUCACUCAACGGAUAAAAGUUACUCUAAGGAUAACAGGCUGAUCUCCCCCAAGAGUUCACAUCGACGGGGAGGUUUGGCACCUUGAUGUCGGCUCAUCGCAUCCUGGGGCGGUAGUACGUCCCAAGGGUUGGGCUGUUCGCCCAUGAAAGCGGUACGCGAGCUGGGUUCAGAACGUCGUGAGACAGUUCGGUCCAUAUCCGGUGUAGGCGUUAGAAUAUUGAGAGGAGCCUUCUUUAGUACGAGAGGACCGAGAAGGACAUACCUCUGGUGUACCAGUUAUCGUGCCAACGGUAAACGCUGGGUAGCUAUGUAUGGAGUGGAUAACCGCUGAAAGCAUCUAAGUGGGAAGCCCACCUCAAGAUAAG
rnacentral:rRNA from 1 species